GUGAGUAGUUCAGAGUUUGAUCCUGGCUCAGGACGAACGCUGGCGGCGUGCUUAACACAUGCAAGUCGAACGGGGAUCAUUCAGAUGAGAGCUUCGGCAGGAAUCGGGAUGAUUCGAGUGGCGGACGGGUGAGUAACGCGUGAGCAACCUGUCCCAGACAGGGGGAUAACACUUGGAAACAGGUGCUAAUACCGCAUAAGACCACGGGGUCGCAUGGCCCUGGGGUAAAAGGAGCAAUCCGGUUUGGGGUGGGCUCGCGUCCGAUUAGAUAGUUGGUGAGGUAACGGCCCACCAAGUCGACGAUCGGUAGCCGACCUGAGAGGGUGAUCGGCCACAUUGGAACUGAGAGACGGUCCAA
rnacentral:rRNA from 1 species